CCCGGUGACCCGAGCGGAGGGGCCACACCCGUUCCCAUUCCGAACACGGCAGUAAAGUCCUCCAGCGCCGAUGGUACUGCAGCGGCAGCGCUGUGGGAGAGUAGGUCGUCGCCGGGA
rnacentral:rRNA from 2 species